rnacentral:rRNA from 1 species
UAGAGUUUGAUCCUGGCUCAGAUUGAACGCUGGCGGCAGGCCUAACACAUGCAAGUCGAGCGGUAGCACAGAGAGCUUGCUCUCGGGUGACGAGCGGCGGACGGGUGAGUAAUGUCUGGGAAACUGCCUGAUGGAGGGGGAUAACUACUGGAAACGGUAGCUAAUACCGCAUAACGUCGCAAGACCAAAGUGGGGGACCUUCGGGCCUCAUGCCAUCAGAUGUGCCCAGAUGGGAUUAGCUGGUAGGUGGGGUAACGGCUCACCUAGGCGACGAUCCCUAGCUGGUCUGAGAGGAUGACCAGCCACACUGGAACUGAGACACGGUCCAGACUCCUACGGGAGGCAGCAGUGGGGAAUAUUGCACAAUGGGCGCAAGCCUGAUGCAGCCAUGCCGCGUGUGUGAAGAAGGCCUUCGGGUUGUAAAGCACUUUCAGCGGGGAGGAAGGCGGUGAGGUUAAUAACCUCAUCGAUUGACGUUACCCGCAGAAGAAGCACCGGCUAACUCCGUGCCAGCAGCCGCGGUAAUACGGAGGGUGCAAGCGUUAAUCGGAAUUACUGGGCGUAAAGCGCACGCAGGCGGUCUGUCAAGUCGGAUGUGAAAUCCCCGGGCUCAACCUGGGAACUGCAUCCGAAACUGGCAGGCUAGAGUCUUGUAGAGGGGGGUAGAAUUCCAGGUGUAGCGGUGAAAUGCGUAGAGAUCUGGAGGAAUACCGGUGGCGAAGGCGGCCCCCUGGACAAAGACUGACGCUCAGGUGCGAAAGCGUGGGGGAGCAAACAGGAUUAGAUACCCUGGUAGUCCACGCUGUAAACGAUGUCGAUUUGGAGGUUGUGCCCUUGAGGCGUGGCUUCCGGAGCUAACGCGUUAAAUCGACCGCCUGGGGAGUACGGCCGCAAGGUUAAACUCAAAUGAAUUGACGGGGGCCCGCACAAGCGGUGGAGCAUGUGGUUUAAUUCGAUGCAACGCGAAGAACCUUACCUGGUCUUGACAUCCACAGAACUUUCCAGAGAUGGAUUGGUGCCUUCGGGAACUGUGAGACAGGUGCUGCAUGGCUGUCGUCAGCUCGUGUUGUGAAAUGUUGGGUUAAGUCCCGCAACGAGCGCAACCCUUAUCCUUUGUUGCCAGCGGUUAGGCCGGGAACUCAAAGGAGACUGCCAGUGAUAAACUGGAGGAAGGUGGGGAUGACGUCAAGUCAUCAUGGCCCUUACGACCAGGGCUACACACGUGCUACAAUGGCAUAUACAAAGAGAAGCGACCUCGCGAGAGCAAGCGGACCUCAUAAAGUAUGUCGUAGUCCGGAUUGGAGUCUGCAACUCGACUCCAUGAAGUCGGAAUCGCUAGUAAUCGUAGAUCAGAAUGCUACGGUGAAUACGUUCCCGGGCCUUGUACACACCGCCCGUCACACCAUGGGAGUGGGUUGCAAAAGAAGUAGGUAGCUUAACCUUCGGGAGGGCGCUUACCACUUUGUGAUUCAUGACUGGGGUGAAGUCGUAACAAGGUAGCCGUA